UGAGGAAUAUUGGUCAAUGGGCGAGAGCCUGAACCAGCCAAGUAGCGUGCAGGAUGACGGCCCUAUGGGUUGUAAACUGCUUUUAUGUGGGGAUAAAGUGCGUGACGUGUCAUGCAUUGCAGGUACCACAUGAAUAAGGACCGGCUAAUUCCGUGCCAGCAGCCGCGGUAAUACGGAAGGUCCGGGCGUUAUCCGGAUUUAUUGGGUUUAAAGGGAGCGUAGGCUGUCUAUUAAGCGUGUUGUGAAAUAUAGAUGCUCAACAUCUGACUUGCAGCGCGAACUGGCUGACUUGAGUACACACAACGUAAGCGGAAUUCAUGGUGUAGCGGUGAAAUGCUUAGAUAUCAUGAAGAACUCCGAUUGCGAAGGCAGCUUACGGGAGUGUUACUGACGCUUAAGCUCGAAGGUGCGGGUAUCGAACAGG
rnacentral:rRNA from 1 species